AGAUCUAACUGCACUUUAUAUAUGGCUGGCGAUCAGACAGUAACCCUUUUCUGAGUUUAGGGUCUACAAUCCUUUCAGAUUAGACCUCAAAUGGACACAUCCUGUACGUGGACAGCAGAGCUAUGGAAAACAAGAGGGAUGCAUUUGUAACCCUCUGUUUACAUUGCAUCCUAACUUCUUCAGCAGCUGAGUCCUUGUCAAGCCAAAAGGAGUGAUAGUAGAAAAUUACAUUCGUACAGCCAACAUUUAAUUGUUGACAUAUAGAAAAUACGUUUUCAGUUAAUUUCUUAAUUAUAGGUGAGAUCUAUGUUCCCAGCCCAAAUACUUGAUGGGUGUCUAUUUAAUAAUGUGAAUAUUUAGUUUGCUUUCACUGAAGGAGUGCAGGUCAUAAGACAUACUUACCACCAACAUAACCCUCUACAACGAUCCUGAUUAUUCUGCUUAACUGAUCUCUGGGCACUGUAUAAUAUUGACUGGAAAGGCACAAAAGAACAUUCCUUGCUUUUCUGCUGUUUGUGAGUGGACAUGGCAAGGAAGAAAAUCCUUUCACCUUUGCACAAUCAAAGCUGCUUUUGGUCUUUUGGAUAAUGUCAGACUAAUCAUUGAGUCAAGAGAUUGGACCAAAUCUUUAACAAUUCAGAGUAAAAUGAAUUCAGGGCUCCCUUAUUCUCAAGGGUCCCCAGGCUAUUUUCCCCAAAAUGUACAGGUAUUGUGAGUAACUUAUUACUAGGUGUCUUGUCUCUUUCCUGUCUAAACCUGCAGUUCACAGUGCAAGGCCGGCACAGAGUGUGAGACUGUACUCUUUAUAUACUGGAUUUUAAAUCACUGGAACAAAGAAAUGUAAAAUGUGGAAAUGUGAGAGCUGAUCAUAUUAACUGAAGCUAUUGUUCCACAAAUUUUAGGAGAUUGUAUCCAGUAGCAGAGAAAUUGGUUCAUGGUUAGUAGAUUCUGACAAAAGAUUGUUUUUUUAUACUAUUUACUUAUUUCUGAAAAUAACAAAAAGCUUGUUUAAAAAAUUUUUAUUUUUAAAAGUCUACCCAGUUAACUCGCUUGACUAGAUCAGAGUGCUACUGAGAAAAAAGUUUUAGCUUCCUUCUCUUCACAAAUACCUUUACUUAACGUCUUGCCUUUCAGUGCUAGUUAAUCAGCAGGCAAGUGAGACUCGCUAAAAACUGUGGGUGGUGGAAUGGAUCCUCCGCACUGAGAGGACAGAACAACACGUGCCAUUUUCUAAUCAUUGCAGCCUGUGAACCUCUCUAAAUAGGCAAAUGAGGCCAAGGGCGAUGGAGGGUCAAUGAGAGCUCGCGGGGUGACGCCAUUCUGCUGGGGUUCUGGAGAGGCCAAAGCUGGAGACGGUCCCGUUUGUGGUCAGCACGGCCUUUUACUUUGUGGCCGUGACUGGCAACUGCACCAACGUCCUCCUCUCCCUCCCACUGCACACUCCCACUUCCUCAGCGACCGGGCCCUUCUCCACCUCCUGCCACAGCACUCGCAGCUUCUCCUAAGUGCUAGUCAACCUCGGGGGCUCAUGCAAAUCCAUGGCCCGCGUGGGUGUGUGUGCGGCGCGGCCCUCUGAAGCCUCUGGCUCCUGGUCUGGUCUGGCCGCGCCGGCUCCGGGGGCUGCCAUUCCGCCCUGACGUCGCCGCGUACACGUACUUGGGGCGGGUGCGGUCACCGCUGCCUCUGCCAGUUCGUGUGCGGGACGCCGGCCAUCACCGCAUUUCCGAGUGGACGCCGGCAGGGUGGAAGGCCUGGCUGUCCCCGGCCACCCCAGCCCCUGGCGCCUCUCGCGCGACUUGGCGUCGGCGCCUCGGGGGCGGUGCACUGCUGCUCAUGCGGUCUCAGCGCCCGGCCUUCCCGCGCGGCUGCCGCCCUUUCCACAGCGCCGCCGUCUGCACUAGCGCCGCACCCGCUUCAACCGCCUGCAACCGCCGCUGAAUUCCCUCAUCCACACGCUGAGAGGACGAGAAAGGCGCCCUGGGGAAGGCUCUCGGGAAAGCCCGCAGCCGCUGGACGCGGGGGGACAUGGAGGUGGACUGACUGCCCCAUGUCCUUCAAAGUUAAUUGCAAAAGAGUUCAUUGCAAGAGAUGAUGUGCUGGUGGAAAGAGAGAUGCUGCUGCUUAUUUCCUCAGUGGGGUUUUACAGGCAGAUAAUGACUGCUUUGCAGCUCAUUUGUGAUUCUGAUUCCACUGAGCGGUAAUGUCAAUAUUAGAUCAGAUACAAGAGUAAGGAGACAGCAUGGCAGAAACGCACGUGUGUGUCUGUGGUGAGUGUUUUCUGGGGUACACUUGUUCCUUCCCACGGGCCCUUUUGUUCUGAAUUUUCCAGACCCCUGUGCAGAUGACACUGUUACUUUCUCAUGCUGUUACCUGCCCCCUCAGGCCCUAAGCAGGUAACAUGUACCUGCCUAAGAGCAGUGUUUCCUUUACAUUUCAAGUUAUAUACCACUUACAACAUCAAUUUAAAUGCGGCAAACAUUCGUUAUUCUAGGUUAGCAUAAAAUGGAUUAGAAAAUUUCACAGAGGACUAUGCAUGGUAGUGAGUCAGUUGUGUGUAUGUGUGUGUGAAAUGUGUUUCUUACACCAAUAUAAAAGUUUGAAAGUCACUGCUUUAGAGAGUUGCUGUUGGAACAAGCUUCCAAGCAACCCAUACGUCUGUACUAGAGGAAAAUCUAGGAAUAUCACUUUAAGGAAACAUAGGGUCGUGUGUGGGAAGAUAUGGACUCAAAGAGUUUGUAGAGCAAGGAAAUCACAACUGCUUAGCGUGGGAGAGUUUGCCAGGAUAAACGAUGAUGAUAUGUUGACAGUGAUAAUGUUAAUCAUGCUAAUUAUGAUAAAAAUGAAACUUUUUUCAACUCAUGCAUUUUCACCUUUUGACAUUUCUUAAGUAGGAAUGUUUUAAGAUUUAGUGGCAAGUCAUAGUUUUUACUUCAUAUUUUCCUUUAAAAUUUACACUAAAAGAUAAAGGUGAGCUUCUCUGAUUACUCUAAAAAUAAAUGAAAUUGCAUCUAUUUCCACGAACUACUUAGUUCCUGUAAUGGCUAGUUUUGUGUCAAUGUGACUAGGCUGUAGUACUCAGAUAUUUGGUCAAAUACCAGUCUGAGUGUUGCUGUGAAAGUAUUUUUUUCAGAUGACAUUAACAUUUAGAUCGGUAGACUUUGAAUAAAGUAGAUUACCCUCCAUGAUGUGGAUGGGCCUGAUCCAAUUCAGUUGAAGGCCUUAAGAGAAAACAGACUCAGGUCCUACAAGGAAGGAGGAGUUCUUACAUCUGCUUUCAAGCUACAGCUGUAACAUCAACUUUUCUCAGAGUCUCCAGCCUGCCCUGAAGAGUUCUGAUUUGCCAACCCCCAUAAGUGAGUUAGCCAGUUUCUUCAAAUAAUUACCCCCACCUCUACACACACACACACACACACACACACACACACACACACACACACACACACACACACAUCUUCUGAUUCUGUUUCUCUGGAGACCCCUAGUACAGUUGUACUACAAACUUCCCAGAAGUUAUAGAAAAUAAAGCACAUCUUGAUCAAAUUUGGAUACGUUUUUGCCUUUUUUUUAAAGCCUUAAACUCUUUAGGUUAAUGCGUAGUUUUCAAGUUUCUUUUCUCAUGUUCAAAUAGCUGUUUCUUCAAGCAGGACAAUCUUUCCUUAUAUUUUCAGUUCAGAUUUCCUCAUUGGAUUAUUAGAGGUUAAAAAAAUUAUGGACAUUGCAAAAAGGGAAAAAGGGAAAUCAACUUACGUCUAUACUACUUUAUCUUCUGAUUUCUGAAAGGGAAAAGAAGUUUGUUGCAAUCUUCUGUGUUUCUUAUUAAGCCUCUGAAUUUUUUCACUGCUCUGUCUUAUAGUUUUAGUAUGCUUAGCCUGGUGUGUACUAGACAUUGCCUCUGGCACUACACCACAUGCAUUUAGUGUGGGCCUAUAUAAACUUAGUCAAGCAACUGUGUUAGAAAAAAAAUUUUAUUCUGUGAUGAAAUAAAUCUUUUAGAAUUUGAAUUUA